UACGGGAGGCAGCAGUGAGGAAUAUUGGUCAAUGGACGCGAGUCUGAACCAGCCAAGUAGCGUGAAGGAUGACUGCCCUAUGGGUUGUAAACUUCUUUUAUAUGGGAAUAAAGUGGUCCACGUGUGGACUUUUGUAUGUACCAUAUGAAUAAGGAUCGGCUAACUCCGUGCCAGCAGCCGCGGUAAUACGGAGGAUCCGAGCGUUAUCCGGAUUUAUUGGGUUUAAAGGGAGCGUAGGCGGAUUGUUAAGUCAGUUGUGAAAGUUUGCGGCUCAACCGUAAAAUUGCAGUUGAUACUGGCAGUCUUGAGUGCAGUAGAGGUGGGCGGAAUUCGUGGUGUAGCGGUGAAAUGCUUAGAUAUCACGAAGAACUCCGAUUGCGAAGGCAGCUCACUGGAGUGUAACUGACGCUGAUGCUCGAAAGUGUGGGUAUCAAACAGGAUUAGAUACCCUGGUAGUCCACACAGUAAACGAUGAAUACUCGCUGUUUGCGAUAUACAGUAAGCGGCCAAGCGAAAGCAUUAAGUAUUCCACCUGG
rnacentral:rRNA from 1 species